UUGCCCUAGUAACGGCGAGUGAAGCGGCAACAGCUCAAAUUUGAAAUCUGGCCCUCGCGGUCCGAGUUGUAAUUUGUAGAGGAUGCUUUUGGUGCGGCGCCUUCCGAGUUCCCUGGAACGGGACGCCGGAGAGGGUGAGAGCCCCGUACGGUUGGACGCCUAGCCUCUGUAUAGCUCCUUCGACGAGUCGAGUAGUUUGGGAAUGCUGCUCUAAAUGGGAGGUAAAUUUCUUCUAAAGCUAAAUACCGGCCAGAGACCGAUAGCGCACAAGUAGAGUGAUCGAAAGAUGAAAAGCACUUUGAAAAGAGGGUUAAAUAGCACGUGAAAUUGUUGAAAGGGAAGCGUUUGCGACCAGACCUUCUCCGGGGGGAUCAUCCGGCGUUCUCGCCGGUGCACUUCCCCCGGUUUAGGCCAGCAUCGGUUUCCUUAGGGGGAUAAAGGCCUGGGGAACGUAGCUCUUUAGGGAGUGUUAUAGCCCCUUGCGUAAUACCCCUCGGGGGACCGAGGACCGCGCUCUGCAAGGAUGCUGGCGUAAUGGUCGUCAACGACCCGUCUUGAAACACGGACCAAGGAGUCGAACAUUUGUGCGAGUGUUUGGGUGUUAAACCCUCACGCGUAAUGAAAGUGAACGGAGGUGAGAGCCCUCACGGGUGCAUCAUCGACCGAUCCUGAUGUCUUCGGAUGGAUUUGAGUAAGAGCAUAACUGUUCGGACCCGAAAGAUAGUGAACUAUGCGUGGAUAGGGUGAAGCCAGAGGAAACUCUGGUGGAGGCUCGCAGCGGUUCUGACGUGCAAAUCGAUCGUCAAAUCUGCGCAUGGGGGCGAAAGAC
rnacentral:rRNA from 1 species